rnacentral:rRNA from 1 species
AAUCGAACCCGGAGAUAGCUGGUUCUCCUCGAAAUAGCUUUAGGGCUAGCCUCAUGGAUCAUUGAUGGGGGUAGAGCACUGAAUGUGCGCGGGGGCCACAAAGCCUACCAAACGCUAUCAAACUUCGAAUACCAUACAAUGCAGACCAUGGGAGUCAGUCCGCGAGAGAUAAGUUCCGCGGGCAAAAGGGGAACACCCCAGAUCAACCGCUAAGGUCCCCAAGUUCACGUUAAGUGGAGAAGGAUGUGGAAUUGCACAGACAACCAGGAUGUUGGCUUAGAAGCAGCCACACAUUUAAAGAGUGCGUAAUAGCUCACUGGUCGAGUGAUUGUGCGCCGAAGAUGUCCGGGGCUAAACGUGACACCGAAGCGAUGGGUGCAUCUGAAAGGAUGCGCGGUAGAGGAGCAAUGUGCAGAGGCAGAAGCCGUAUCGAGAGGCACGGUGGACACUGCACAAGAGAGAAUGCCGGUAUGAGUAGCGAGAGGCAUGCGAGAAACAUGCCCGUCGAAAGCCCAAGGUUUCCUGGGGAAGGUUCAUCCGCCCAGGGUAAGUCGGGGCCUAAGCCGAGGACGGAAGUCGUAGGCGAUGGACAGCAGGUGUAGAUUCCUGCACUACCGAUGGAAUGAAGCAGUGACACAGAAGGAUAACUCGAGCAGGGUGAUGGUCAACCCUGUGCAAGCAUCAAGGUUGGGUUGUAGUGAAGUACGCAAUCCUAUAAGCUGAGAUGUGAUGCGGACCGAAAUUUCAGUAGGGAAGCGAGUGAGUUCACGCUGGCGAGAAAAGCUGCUAGUACAUCCAAAGGUACCCGUACCGGAAACCGACGCAGGUGGGCGAGGAGAGAAUCCUGAGACGAACGGGAGAACCCUUGUUAAGGAACUCGGCAAAAUGACCCCGUAACUUCGGGAUAAGGGGUGCCUGCGAGAGCAGGCCGCAGAGAAUAGUCACAAGCGACUGUUUAGCAAAAACACAGGUAUCUGCGAAAGCGAGAGCUGACGUAUAGGUGCUGACACCUGCCCGGUGCUGGAAGGUUAAGGGAACAUGUUAGAGCAAUCGAAGCAUCGAACCGAAGCCCCAGUAAACGGCGGCCGUAACUAUAACGGUCCUAAGGUAGCGAAAUUCCUUGUCGGGUAAGUUCCGACCCGCACGAAUGGUGUAACGACUUGUGAGCUGUCUCAACAGGGGGCCCGGUGAAAUUGAAGUAUGGGUGAAGAUGCCCAUUACCCGCGACUGGACGGAAAGACCCCGUAGAGCUUUACUGCAGCCUGAUAUUGAGUUUCGGUAACUGAUGCACAGGAUAGGUGGGAGUCUGAGAGACAUGGGUUUCGGCUCGUGUGGAGACGAUGUUGGGAUACCACUCUUCGGUUACUGAAAUUCUAACAUAGCUCUGUGAAACCAGAGGAUGGACAGUGUCAGGUGGACAGUUUGACUGGGGCGGUCGCCUCCGAAAGAGUAACGGAGGCGCCCAAAGGUACCCUCAGAAUGGAUGGAAACCAUUCGAAGAGCGCAAAGGCAGAAGGGUGCCUGACUGCGAGAUUGACAAAUCGAGCAGAGACGAAAGUCGGGCUUAGUGAUCCGGCGGUAUUGAGUGGAAAAGCCGUCGCUUAACGGAUAAAAGCUACCUCGGGGAUAACAGGCUGAUCUCCCCCAAGAGUCCACAUCGACGGGGAGGUUUGGCAC